ensembl:lncRNA
AUGGGGCCAGGGCUGGGAAACAUGUCCAUCUUGCCUUUUAGACCUCCUUUCUUCUGGGGACAAGUGAUCAGCACCUCCUGGGCACAGCCUCCCUCUUUCCAUUGGGGUUUGAAACCACGCAGGCUGCUGGCAGGCACUCCCUCCCUCCAGGAUGGUAUCUUCAUGGAACCGGCAGGCACCAGUGACUGUGGCCUUGAGGGGAGCAGGGAACACAGAACGGAGGGGAGCGGUUGUUCCCCAGGACCGAGGCUGAGCUGUCCCAGGCUGAGGGGAACAUGCUGGGCUGGCUGGCCAGGCGUCCUGCCACGUCCUGGCACAUCUGUCUGUCUGUGGCUCGCUUCUCUGUGCCCCAUGCUGCCCCCAGCACAGCCAUGGCGGUUUCUGCUCCCUGGGCCGUGCUCACCCAUGUCCUCACCAAGCCUGGGACCAGGUGACCUAGAACUUCGAAGCUGAGGGUCCUCAGCUGGAGUUCCCCAGCUCUGGCCCCUCUGAGAAGAGCUUGUGCGGGGACUGUGGCGAAGGCUUUGGUUUCUGGGCAGAGCAGAAUCAUUGUUUUCCCCAGAGAAGCUUGCUCUCAGGGUGGUUUCCAGGCCCCCGUCCCUCCAGACCAGAUGGCUCGUGUUAGAUCUCAGUGUGCAACUUGCUGUCUCUGUGGGCACACGUUCUGGAUCUGUCCCAACCUGAGCAGCUGAUUCACCAGGACGUUCUGGGAAGUCCUCACCAUUUGAUUCCACCUCAGCACAUCAGCACAGAAGCUGUGAGUCAGAUUUCCAGCUUGUAUGGGGAGUCUAUUGAUCCUGGGGCAAGACGCAGAGGUGUUGUCCGGGGGCCGAGGUCAGGACUCAGCCUGGGGUGUCGGGAGCUCCCUGUUAGGUCUGCAGAGCUGGUACUGCCUUCAGAGGAGCUCAUUACUCAGAGUCCAUCAGAUGAUGGACUGUUGUUGUUUUUUUGUUUUUUAAGGUUUACUUAGUUAUUUUGGAGACUGAGAGCAUGAGUGGGAGGAACAGAGGGAGAAGGGGAGAGAAUCCCAAGCAGACUCUGUGCUGAGCCUGGAGCCUGAUGUGGGGCUCUAUCUCAUGGCCCUGAGAUCACGACCUGAGCUGAAACCAAGACCUGGACGUUCAACUGAUGGUGCCACCCUGGUGCCAUCUCGGGACCCCAGAGGAUGGACUGUUUUGUGGCUGUUCAGGGUCUUGGGAAAAGCAGAGAACAUAGUUCCUGCCCAGAAGAGCUGGAGACUCUAGGUUCAGCAGGAUCAGCCUGCCUAUGGCCUCCUUCCUCCCUAGCUGUCUGGGCGCUUAGUAGAGAGAUAUUGAGCAUCUGCCCAGUGCUCAACACAGUGCUUUGGGCUUGGGAAAUAAGCAUGAAGUCAGGUGGCACCUUUGAGGGACUCACUGGCUAGUGCCGGAGGCCAGGUGGGCUCUCAGGCCCCCAGCUGGACCAGGCAACCAGAUGGCCCUGGCACCUGCCCCUGUGCUGUUCGGAGAAAUCACUGGCCCCCACAGAAUCCGUCUCCUCCUGUGUAGGAUCAGGAGAAUAGGCUACCUUCCUUCCCGCUUCGCAAGGAUCCGGCUGCGUAACAGAUCCCAAGUGCCCAGAACUGGGCCAGGAGCAGUGAGGACGGUCGGUCGGAAGGCUUGAGAGGUUGAGAGGUUUGGAAGGACAGGUGGGAUGGAGGGCUGGAGAGGCGUCCAGGGUCCUGGGGCUGGACGAGUGCAGCCAGCAGAGCCAUGUCUGAGUGUCAGUCCACUACUGUGCAUACUUACUCCUGAACAGCUGUGGCCUCAGCUUGUUUCUCUGUAAAGUGGGGAUCAUAUCUUCCCUUCCAACCUCACUGGGAGACAGGAAGAGAAGCCAACAUUUGCGUCUACUGUGUUCCAGAUGCCAUCUUAUUCUGAGGAUAGAGACAGAGAACGUAUGUCAUGUGUGUUUUAUAUUAAACAAAUCACAUGGGCAGCCCGGGUGGCUCAGCGGUUUGGUGCCGCCUUCGGCUCAGGGCAUGAUCCUGGAGACCCAGGAUCGAGUCCCACAUCGGGCUCCCUGCGUGGAGCCUGCUUCUCCCUCUGCCUGUGUCUCUACCUCUCUUUCUGUGCAUCUCUCAUGAAUAAAUAAAUAGAAUCUUAAAAAAUAAAUAAACA